AGUGGGGAAUCUUGGACAAUGGGCGCAAGCCUGAUCCAGCCAUGCCGCGUGAGUGAAGAAGGCCUUAGGGUUGUAAAACUCUUUCGCCGGAGAAGAUAAUGACGGUAUCCGGAGAAGAAGCCCCGGCUAACUUCGUGCCAGCAGCCGCGGUAAUACGAAGGGGGCUAGCGUUGUUCGGAAUUACUGGGCGUAAAGCGCACGUAGGCGGGUUUGUAAGUAGGGGGUGAAAUCCCCGGGCUCAACCCGGGAACUGCCUUCUAGACUGCAAGCCUGGAGGUCAGGAGAGGCGAGUGGAAUACCGAGUGUAGAGGUGAAAUUCGUAGAUAUUCGGUGGAACACCAGUGGCGAAGGCGACUCGCUGGACUGAUACUGACGCUGAGGUGCGAAAGCGUGGGGAGCAAA
rnacentral:rRNA from 1 species